UCAGAAGAGAGACUAACUUCCCUUAGGAUGAUACAGUGUCAUUCCUGGUUUUCUUCCUGGAAAUAUGAUGCACAUUAGUAAGUCUUGGCUGUGAAACAGAAAUCGUAUUAAUUGUUGAGAAGUGAAGAAAUUGGUCUGUGUACUGAAAACACCCUGUUGAUGGCCAUUGAUCAUCAGUAAAAAUAAACAUUUAUGUCAACUCAUUUUGAGAAGAAAAACUGUGACUGUAUAUUGAAGGUCUCUCCCUACUGCUUUGGAAGACCAGAACGUCUUAAAAUGUUGGCACCUGCUUUUCUGACAGAGAAAGAACAGUCAUACUGAACGAAGGGAUCGCAACAACUCAGCAACUGGUGCAUUUCCCUUUAGCAU